UUGUGUCCGAGUCAAUUUCGCCGCCCACCCGGUCAAAUUAAUCCCAAAAACGAAAUUCAUAAACAAUGCGCGUACCUGCUGACCUCUCACCCCACCCCCGAACUUUCUCUCUCUUUCCCGGAAAAUCCAUAUAUCCCCAAACACAUAUAUAUAAGCACCCACCAUACUCUCCAUCCAUCAUCCAAAACAAACCAGAAAACCCAAGAUUUCCUCUGUUACCCUUCUUCCCCUUCUUUAAUUUUCUAGUAUUUCUUCUUUUUAAUUUCUCAGAUUCUUUUGCUUUUUCCAUAGUUUCAUAUUUGGAAUUGGAAGAUGAACUCAAUGAGAUUGUUCGCUCUCCCAAUCGUCGGAUUGAUUUUCUCGGCACUUCUGCAAAUCAUUGAUGGGCAAGCCAUUGCUCCUUCGCCUGCACCAGUUGGUCCAACCAGUGACAGCACAACGAUCGACCAAGGAAUAGCUUACUUCCUUCUACUUCUGGCAUUGGCAAUUACAUACAUGCUCCAUUAAUUACAAAUUCUUUUAUUUAUUUUUUUUUCGUGUAUUCCAUAUGGAGAAAUGGCCACAUUAUUUUUUUAUCUCUCUUCUCUUAUAUAUCCGUGUAAAGAAAUAUACUACUGAGUAAUAAAUUUAUUUAUUGGAGCCUU